rnacentral:rRNA from 1 species
UACAGAGGGUGCAAGCGUUGUUCGGAAUUAUUGGGCGUAAAGGGCGCGUAGGUGGCCCCUCAAGCGUGCGGUGAAAGUCAGGGGCUCAACCCCUGAUCGGCCGUGCGAACUGGGGAGCUUGAGCACUGUAGAGGCAGGCGGAAUUCCGGGUGUAGCGGUGGAAUGCGUAGAGAUCCGGAAGAACACCGGUGGCGAAGGCGGCCUGCUGGGCAGUUACUGACACUGAGGCGCGACAGCGUGGGGAGCAAACAGG